rnacentral:rRNA from 1 species
UACAGAGGGUGCAAGCGUUGUUCGGAAUUAUUGGGCGUAAAGCGCGUGUAGGCGGCUUUGCAAGUCGGGUGUGAAAGCCCUCAGCUCAACUGAGGAAGUGCGCCCGAAACUGCAGAGCUUGAGUACCGGAGAGGAUGGCGGAAUUCCCCAAGUAGAGGUGAAAUUCGUAGAUAUGGGGAGGAACAUCAGUGGCGAAGGCGGCCUGCUGGGCUGUUGCUGACGCAGAGGCGCGACAGCGUGGGGAGCAAACAGG